UACGGAGGGGACUAGCGUUGUUCGGAAUUACUGGGCGUAAAGCGCACGUAGGCGGAUUUGUAAGUCAGGGGUUAAAUCCCGGGGCUCAACCUCGGAACUGCCUUUGAUACUGCAAAUCUCGAGUCCGGAAGAGGUGAGUGGAAUUCCUAGUGUAGAGGUGAAAUUCGUAGAUAUUAGGAAGAACACCAGUGGCGAAGGCGGCUCACUGGUCCGGUACUGACGCUGAGGUGCGAAGGCGUGGGGAGCAAACAGG
rnacentral:rRNA from 1 species